AUUGAACGCUGGCGGCAGGCCUAACACAUGCAAGUCGAACGAGUGGCGGACGGGUGCGUAAUGUCUGGGAAACUGCCUGAUGGAGGGGGAUAACUACUGGAAACGGUAGCUAAUACCGCAUACCAUCAGAUGUGCCUAGAUGGGAUUAGCUUGUUGGUGGGGUAACGGCUCACAAAGUCGACGAUCCCUAGCUGGUCUGGGAGGAUGACCAGCCACACUGGAAUUGAGACAGGGUCAAGACUCCUAAGGGAGGCAGCAGUGUGGAUUAUAGCACAAUGGGCGCAAGCCUGAUUCAGCCAUGCCGCGUGGAUGAAGGAGGCCUUCGGGUUGUAAAGUACUUUCAGCGGGGAGGCGUUACCCGCCGAUGAAGCACCGGCUAACUCCGUGCCAGCAGCCGCGGUAAUAC
rnacentral:rRNA from 1 species